rnacentral:rRNA from 1 species
AGUGAACGCUGCGGUAGGCCUAACACAUGCAAGUCGAACGGCAGCACAGUAAGAGCUUGCUCUUACGGGUGGCGAGUGGCGGACGGGUGAGGAAUACAUCGGAAUCUACUUUUUCGUGGGGGAUAACGUAGGGAAACUUACGCUAUUACCGCAUACGACCUACGGGUGAAAGCAGGGGAUCUUCGGACCUUGCGCGAUUGAAUGAGCCGAUGUCGGAUUAGCUAGUUGGCGGGGUAAAGGCCCACCAAGGCGACGAUCCGUAGCUGGUCUGAGAGGAUGAUCAGCCACACUGGAACUGAGACACGGUCCAGACUCCUACGGGAGGCAGCAGUGGGGAAUAUUGGACAAUGGGCGCAAGCCUGAUCCAGCCAUACCGCGUGGGUGAAGAAGGCCUUCGGGUUGUAAAGCCCUUUUGUUGGGAAAGAAAAGCAGCAGGUUAAUACCCCGCUGUUCUGACGGUACCCAAAGAAUAAGCACCGGCUAACUUCGUG